UACGUAGGUGGCAAGCGUUGUCCGGAAUUAUUGGGCGUAAAGCGCGCGCAGGCGGCCUCUUAAGUCUGAUGUGAAAGCCCCCGGCUCAACCGGGGAGGGCCAUUGGAAACUGGGAGGCUUGACGUAUAGGAGAGAAGGAGGUGGAAUUCCACGUGUAGGCGGUGAAAUGCGUAGAGAUGUGGAGGAACACCAGUGGCGAAGGCGACGUCUUUG
rnacentral:rRNA from 1 species